rnacentral:rRNA from 1 species
UACGGGGGGGGCAAGCGUUGUUCGGAAUUACUGGGCGUAAAGGGCUCGUAGGCGGCCAACUAAGUCGGAUGUGAAAUCCCCAGGCUUAACCUGGGAACUGCAUCCGAUACUGGAUGGCUUGAAUCCGGGAGAGGGAUGCAGAAUUCCAGGUGUAGCGGUGAAAUGCGUAGAUAUCAUUUGGAACGCCAAUGGUGAAAACAGCUCGCUGGGGGUGUACUGACACUCAAGUGCGAAAGCGUGGGGAGCAAACAGG